CGCCAGACUCCUACGGGAGGCAGCAGUGGGGGAUAUUGCACAAUGGGGGAAACCCUGAUGCAGCGACGCCGCGUGGGCGAAGAAGUAUUUCGGUAUGUAAAGCCCUAUCAGCAGGGAAGAAGAAAUGACGGUACCUGAGUAAGAAGCACCGGCUAAAUACGUGCCAGCAGCCGCGGUAAUACGUAUGGUGCAAGCGUUAUCCGGAUUUACUGGGUGUAAAGGGAGCGCAGGCGGCACGGCAAGCCUGAUGUGAAAGCCCGCGGCCCAACCGCGGGACUGCAUUGGGAACUACCGGGCUGGAGUGCCGGAGAGGUAGGCGGAAUUCCUAGUGUAGCGGUGAAAUGCGUAGAUAUUAGGAGGAACACCGGUGGCGAAGGCGGCUUACUGGACUGUAACUGACGUUGAGGCUCGAAAGCGCGGGGAGCAAACAGGAUUAGAUACCCGAGUA
rnacentral:rRNA from 1 species